GGAGGAUUGGAUGAGUGGUUGAAAUCAGCAGUUUACUAAACUGCCGACGGGUAAAACUGUCCGUGGGUUCGAAUCCCACAUCCUCCG
rnacentral:tRNA from 2 species